rnacentral:rRNA from 1 species
UACGAAGGGGGCUAGCGUUGCUCGGAAUCACUGGGCGUAAAGCGCACGUAGGCGGCUUGUUAAGUCAGGGGUGAAAUCCUGGAGCUCAACUCCAGAACUGCCUUUGAUACUGGCGAGCUUGAGUCCGGGAGAGGUGAGUGGAACUGCGAGUGUAGAGGUGAAAUUCGUAGAUAUUCGGAAGAACACCAGUGGCGAAGGCGGCUCACUGGCCCGUUACCGACGCUCAGGCGCGACAGCGUGGGGAGCAAACAGG